rnacentral:rRNA from 1 species
GCUAGUAAUCGUAGGUCAGCAUACUACGGCGAAUACGUUCCCGGCCUUGUACACACCGCCCGUCAAACCAUGAGAGUUGGCAACACCCGAAGUCGGUAGUCUAACCGCAAGGAGGACGCCGCCAAAGGUGGGGUUGAUGAUUAGGGUUAAGUCGUAACAAGGUACC